rnacentral:rRNA from 1 species
CCCUUAGAUAUCUUGGAAUGCACGCGGGAUACAAUAAUUAAGAUAAUAAGUUUAUUUUCUUUUGGCUCUUUUUUUCUUCGGAUUUAAAGUUUGCCAAGAAAACCUGUUUUGAAAAGAAUGGGAAAUCUCAAAAUCUUAAUUUUGACAAGGAUUGUCUCUUGUAACAGAGGCAUGAAAGAGGAAUACCUAGUAGGCGUGAGUCAACACCUCGCACCGAUUAAGUCCCUGCUUUUUGUACACACCGCCCGUCGCAUCAAGGAACAUGAUUGAAGUCAUGAAGCUUACGGAUAAUGUGUGUUUUUCUUCGGGAAAAUUGAUUAAAAGUAAACUGAAUGGUUUUAAUCUUACCAUGAUGAAGUCGUAACA